rnacentral:rRNA from 1 species
AUGCGCAAAGGGCUGAAUGCCAUUAUCUCCCUGACGGCUCGGGAGAUCUGGAAGCACCGAAACAGCGUCAUCUUCAACGAUAUUCGCCCCUCUGCCCAGCAGCUUUUCGACCAAAUCCGGGACGAGGCACGGAUGUGGGCCAGGGCAGGGGCAACCGGAGUUGCCAACAUCAUCGACACCGGUUAA